rnacentral:lncRNA from 1 species
AAUAUUGUAUCUGCCUCUGUACUUCAUGAAAACUUAGUAAAGCGUAAAAUAUCGAUGAGUGAAGCUGUGUGAGAGGCAUAAUGGCGAUCAAACCAUCUAUAAAAGUAGAUGGGGCUUAAAAACCCUGAUAGUCAUGAGUGAUCGUGACUUCGAGCAGUCUAAUAUUGCUUGAAUCUUUGCAACAUCUGAGGUAACACCAUUGAUUUAGAUAAUGUUAUAAAUGAUCAAUACAAU